CACCUGAUCCCUUCCCGAACUCAGUAGUGAAACGACGCAUCGCCGAUGGUAGUGUGGGGUCUCCCCAUGUGAGAGUAGGUCAUCGUCAAGC
rnacentral:rRNA from 2 species